GGGCCCGUAGCUCAGGCUGAUGCGAAGUGCGUUUCAUGCAUUUUGUUUCCUGAAACGGUUAGAGCGACGGUCUUAUAAGCCGUAGGUCCGGAGUUCAAAUCUCCGCGGGCCCA
rnacentral:tRNA from 1 species